rnacentral:rRNA from 1 species
AUUGAACGCUGGCGGAACGCUUUACACAUGCAAGUCGAACGGCAGCACGGACUUCGGUCUGGUGGCGAGUGGCGAACGGGUGAGUAAUACAUCGGAACGUGCCCAGUCGUGGGGGAUAACGUAGCGAAAGCUACGCUAAUACCGCAUACGAUCUAAGGAUGAAAGCGGGGGAUCGCAAGACCUCGCGCGAUUGGAGCGGCCGAUGGCAGAUUAGGUAGUUGGUAGGGUAAAGGCCUACCAAGCCGACGAUCUGUAGCUGGUCUGAGAGGAUGAUCAGCCACACUGGGACUGAGACACGGCCCAGACUCCUACGGGAGGCAGCAGUGGGGAAUUUUGGACAAUGGGCGCAAGCCUGAUCCAGCCAUUCCGCGUGCAGGAUGAAGGCCUUCGGGUUGUAAACUGCUUUUGUACAGAACGAAAAGGCUCUGGUUAAUACCCGGGGCUCAUGACGGUACUGUAAGAAUAAGCACCGGCCAACUACGUGCCAGCCGCCGCAGUAA